rnacentral:rRNA from 1 species
GUGUCAGCAGCCGCGGUAAUACGAAGGGGGCUAGCGUUGUUCGGAAUCACUGGGCGUAAAGCGCACGUAGGCGGAUUUGUCAGUCAGGGGUGAAAUCCCGGGGCUCAACCUCGGAACUGCCUUUGAUACAGCAAAUCUCGAGCCCGGAAGAGGUGGGUGGAAUUCCUAGUGUAGAGGUGAAAUUCGUAGAUAUUAGGAAGAACACCAGUGGCGAAGGCGGCCCACUGGUCCGGUGCUGACGCUGAGGUGCGAAAGCGUGGGGAGCAAACAGGAUUAGAUACCCCGGUAGUCC